AUGUGGUGCGGCACAGUAUCAAAGGCCUUAGCCAGGUCCAGGAAGAUUGUCAUACAUUUUGUAUUGGUGUUAAAAGCAUUUAUUAUGUCGUCAGCUACCCUGACUAAAGCAUCCUCAGUUCCCAUUCCCGUCUUAAAACCAUAUUGAUUUGCAUUAAGGUAAACUCCAGACCCAAAGAUAGUAUUUACCAGAUGUAAAAGAGGCACUAUCAAGUAUCUGUUAUAAUUCUUAAUAAAAUUAUUAGAUAUGCCAU